ACCUCGUUCCGGGGAUGCCUCCUCUGCC
rnacentral:piRNA from 1 species